UAUUAGCUUUUAUAUAUUUUAUCAAAUCAUAUUUAUGAUACAGUUUGAUUAUUUUGUCCAAAUAUUAUUUAAAGGUAUUUCAAAAUAUUAUUUACUUCAUUCUAGUAAUAAGUGUACAGGUAAAAACUGUUCACUACAUUGUAUAUUUUUACCAUUGAUAAAUAACUGACCGACAGGUGCAGUUGUGUCUCAGUUUUGUGAACAAGAAUAUUUGAAGAUUUAAGGUUGGUGUAUUUUGUAAAUAUUUAUAAUGAUUGUGAAUAUGACUGUUUGAUAUAAAAGAGUUUUAUAAAAUACAAAAAGAACAAAAAUAUGAUAUGUACAUGUAAAUAACAUUCUAUAUUUUUAUCUGAAGUUUUGCAAAUGCAAAUAUGAUUUUGAAAUUUUGUUUAAUCAUUUGAAUUUGAAAUAUAGUUUUAUUGAACUAAUUGAUAGGCAUUGUUGAGAAAUAUUUAUACUAUGAAAGAUGUGUUUUACAUUUUUAAUAUAAAAGGUUCUGAUAAAGUAAAUAUUGUUCACAGGUAGAUCAAUGUGAUUUUCAUACUAGAGGAUGAUAUUAUUGCAGUAAAAUUGUCUGCCAUUUCCUUAUUUAGGCGUUGCCAAUAAUUAAUGUUAUUUUCAAUAUAUGUAUAAUGUGAAUAGAAUAUAUGAAUCCAGUAUAAUAAAUUCAUGAACCUUA